AACGCUGUUUCAUUAAAAAAUUCCACGUUAAAUUGUAUGUUAACAUCCAGAUUAUAAACCACAUACAGUACCCUCCACAAAUAUGGCCCUCCUUGGUAAAUAUGAGCAAAGAAGGCUGUGAAAAAUUGUCUUUAUUGUUUAAGCUUUUGAUCUUUUCUUCAGACAAUACACAAAAAUCUCUGUUCUUAUGGAUAGCAAACAAUUGCAAAUAAUACA